rnacentral:rRNA from 1 species
AUUGAACGCUGGCGGCAGGCCUAACACAUGCAAGUCGAGCGGAUGACGGGAGCUUGCUCCUUGAUUCAGCGGCGGACGGGUGAGUAAUGCCUAGGAAUCUGCCCGGUAGUGGGGGACAACGUUUCGAAAGGAACGCUAAUACCACAUACGUCCUACGGGAGAAAGCAGGGGACCUUCGGGCCUUGCGCUAUCAGAUGAGCCUAGGUCGGAUUAGCUAGUUGGUGAGGUAAUGGCUCACCAAGGCGACGAUCCGUAACUGGUCUGAGAGGAUGAUCAGUCACACUGGAACUGAGACACGGUCCAGACUCCUACGGGAGGCAGCAGUGGGGAAUAUUGGACAAUGGGCGAAAGCCUGAUCCAGCCAUGCCGCGUGUGUGAAGAAGGUCUUCGGAUUGUAAAGCACUUUAAGUUGGGAGGAAGGGCAGUAAGUUAAUACCUUGCUGUUUUGACGUUACCGACAGAAUAAGCACCGGCUAACUCUGUGCCAGCCGCCGCGGUAACAC